AAACAUGACUUUGAUCUGCGUCCUCAUCUGGACUCUCCUCUGCUGCUGCUUCACAGAGUCCAGAGGCCAGGUCACAGUGACUCAGCCUGGAUCAGUGAGGUCUGGUCUGGGAGGAACCGUCACCAUCAGAUGUAGAACCAGUCAGGAUGUUUAUUACAGCAGUUACCGCACCGGCUACAACAACUACAACUACUACCACUAUUUAGCCUGGUACCAACAGAGAGAUGGAGGAGUUCCUAAACUUCUCAUUAAAGUUGCUAAUGAACGAGAAUCAGGGAUUCCACAUCGUUUUUCAGGCAGUGGAUCAAAAUCUGACUUCACUCUGACCAUCAGUGGAGUCCAGGCUGAAGAUGCAGCAGUUUAUUACUGUCAGAGUUAUCAUGAGAUCAACAGUCAGAGUGUGGUCACACAGUGA